rnacentral:rRNA from 1 species
CUGGUUGAUCCUGCCAGUAGUCAUAUGCUUGUCUCAAAGAUUAAGCCAUGCAUGUCUAAGUACAUACCUUAGCACGGUGAAACCGCGAAUGGCUCAUUAAAUCAGUUAUGGUUCCUUAGAUCGUUCUUUUUACAUGGAUAACUGUGGUAAUUCUAGAGCUAAUACAUGCAAAAAGCUCCGACCGUAUGGGAAGAGCGCUUUUAUUAGACCAAAACCAAUGGGGUCGCAAGAUCCCUUUGUCUGGUGACUCUGGAUAACUUUGUGCUGAUCGCAUGGCCUAGAGCCGGCGACGUAUCUUUCAAGUGUCUGCCCUAUCAACUUUCGAUGGUAAGCGAUUUGCCUACCAUGGUUGUAACGGGUAACGGGGAAUCAGGGUUCGAUUCCGGAGAGGGAGCAUGAGAAAUGGCUACCACAUCUACGGAAGGCAGCAGGCGCGCAAAUUACCCACUCCUAGAACGGGGAGGUAGUGACGAAAAAUAACAAUACCGGACUCAAUGAGGCUCGGUAAUUGAAAUGAGUACAGUUUAAAACCCGUUAACGAGGAUCUAUUGGAGGGAAAGUCUGGUGCCA